rnacentral:rRNA from 1 species
UACGUAGGAGACGAGCGUUGUCCGGAGUUACUGGGCGUAAAGGGCGCGCAGGCGGCCGGCCUUGUGUGCGGUGAAAGCUCCUGGCUUAACUAGGAGAGGUCCGUGCAAACGGGUCGGCUUGAGCGUCGGAGAGGGGCAUGGAAUUCCGGGUGGAGCGGUGAAAUGCGUAGAGAUCCGGAGGAACACCAAUGGCGAAGGCAGUGCCCUGGCCGACGGCUGACGCUCAGGCGCGAAAGCGUGGGGAGCAAACAGGAUUAGAUACCCUGGUAGUCCACGCCGUAAACGAUGUCCACUAGAUAGAGGGAGUUUCGACCCUUUCUCUGUUGCAGCUAACGCAAUAAGUGGACCGCCUGGGGAGUACGGUCGCAAGAUUAAA